AUGUUCUCGCAUGAAGACUUCCUCACAAAUCCUUUUUGGAAUGACUUCAACUCAUCACAUCAGAUGCAGAAUUUGUCCACGGAGGCUUCACCAUUCACACCCUUACUCCAAACAGAACCAAAUUUAAUUGUUCAUUCCCAACUUAACACUAAUGCGGUGGUGGAUGAUGGUUCACUCUUUAAGAUGGCCACGAGGGAUGUCUCCGAGAAGCAAUUGAAGAUACAAGAUGGAAGAUUAUCAAAUGCUGAUCCAUAUGGUGUACCUGCCCCUGCUUCUCCAGCCAUGCAAUCGUCACAUAUUCAAAGAGAAGAUAAGAUCCUUCUAGUUGGUCCAAAUGGCAUUUCUGAUAGUGCUAUUAUGCAUGAUUCGACAACCUCACGUAAAUACACAUGCAAGAUUUGCAAUGCCACAUUCAACACAUCUCAAGCGUAUGGUGGUCACAUGAGUUCGCAUAGCAAAGCAAGGAUGAAAAGCCUACAAAGUUGA
rnacentral:rRNA from 1 species